AUUGAACGCUGGCGGCAGGCUUAACACAUGCAAGUCGAGCGGGGGAAGGUAGCUUGCUACCGGACCUAGCGGCGGACGGGUGAGUAAUGCUUAGGAAUCUGCCUAUUAGUGGGGGACAACAUCUCGAAAGGGAUGCUAAUACCGCAUACGUCCUACGGGAGAAAGCAGGGGAUCUUCGGCCCUUGCGCUAAUAGAUGAGCCUAAGUCGGAUUAGCUAGUUGGUGGGGUAAAGGCCUACCAAGGCGACGAUCUGUAGCGGGUCUGAGAGGAUGAUCCGCCAAACUGGGACUGAGACACGGCCCAGACUCCUACGGGAGGCAGCAGUGGGGAAUAUUGUACAAUGUGGGGAACCCUGAUCAAGCCAUGCCGCGUGUGUGAAGAAGGCCUUAUGGUUGUAAAGCACUUUAAGCGAGGAGGAGGCUACUUUAGUUAAUACCUAGAGAUAGUGGACGUUACUCGCAGAAUAAGCACCGGCUAACUCUGUGCCAGCCGCCGCCGUAA
rnacentral:rRNA from 1 species